AAAUUGAAGAGUUUGAUCAUGGCUCAGAUUGAACGCUGGCGGCAGGCCUAACACAUGCAAGUCGAACGGUAACAGGAAGCAGCUUGCUGCUUCGCUGACGAGUGGCGGACGGGUGAGUAAUGUCUGGGAAACUGCCUGAUGGAGGGGGAUAACUACUGGAAACGGUAGCUAAUACCGCAUAAUGUCGCAAGACCAAAGAGGGGGACCUUCGGGCCUCUUGCCAUCGGAUGUGCCCAGAUGGGAUUAGCUUGUUGGUGGGGUAACGGCUCACCAAGGCGACGAUCCCUAGCUGGUCUGAGAGGAUGACCAGCCACACUGGAACUGAGACACGGUCCAGACUCCUACGGGAGGCAGCAGUGGGGAAUAUUGCACAAUGGGCGCAAGCCUGAUGCAGCCAUGCCGCGUGUAUGAAGAAGGCCUUCGGGUUGUAAAGUACUUUCAGCGGGGAGGAAGGGAGUAAAGUUAAUACCUUUGCUCAUUGACGUUACCCGCAGAAGAAGCACCGGCUAACUCCGUGCCAGCAGCCGCGGUAAUACGGAGGGUGCAAGCGUUAAUCGGAAUUACUGGGCGUAAAGCGCA
rnacentral:rRNA from 1 species